AUAUAUAUAUAUAUAUAUAUUUUACAUAUUGAUGGAAUAUUUUACUGAUCUGUUAAUUAAUUACACAUAUGUCACCAAUACUUUUGUUCUUGCCUAUAAAUGCAGUACAUAUAUCAAACACUUUGAUGACCUUAUGUAUAUGUAUGUAAAUGGCGCGAGACCCUUGACGGGCUCCAUUGAGAAAAUCUUUUUUAUUGUGAGUCUUGAGCUGGUCUCAGAUUAUAUCAAUUUGCAUGUCUGUGAUUUAUUGCUGCUGUUAUUUUUUUAUCAUUUUUAUUCAUAUUUAAUUUUUGCUAAAAUUAAAAACGUGUUCAUGUGUUUUGUUAGUAUAAAAAAGAGGAAAAUUGAACAUGACGUUUUGAAAUGUAUGGGUUUGCAAAUUUAUGAAAUUGUUUUUAUGAAAGUAUGCAAUAACAGUUACUAUUUUUCUGUGAAUAUAAAUAUAUGUUGAUAAUUUUGUCGGUUGGAGAAUGCCGAAGAAUGACUAUUUUCAAUUACAUUCAUGUACAUUGUUUAUAUUCUCCCAAAAGCGGAUGAACUUUAUGUUUCAAUAAAAUUUCAUAACUUUU
rnacentral:sRNA from 1 species